GUGAAGAACGUAGCGAAAUGCGAUACGUAGUGUGAAUUGCAGAAUUCAGUGAAUCAUCGAAUCUUUGAACGCACAUUGCGCCCUUUGGUAUUCCAAAGGGCAUGCCUGUUCGAGCGUCAUUUGUACCCUCAAGCUUUGCUUGGUGUUGGGCGUCUUGUCUCCAGUCCGCUGGAGACUCGCCUUAAAGUCAUUGGCAGCCGGCCUACUGGUUUCGGAGCGCAGCACAAGUCGCACUCUUUUCCAGCCAAGGUCAGUGUCCAACAAGCCUUUUUUCAACUUUUGACCUCGGAUCAGGUAGGGAUACCCGCUGAACUUAAGCAUAUCAAUAAGCGGAGGA
rnacentral:misc_RNA from 1 species